rnacentral:rRNA from 1 species
GAUGAACGCUAGCGGCAGGCCUAAUACAUGCGAGUCGAGGGGUAGUGGUUGCUUGCAACCAUGAGACCGGCGCACGGGUGCGUAACGCGUAUGCAACCUACCUUCAUCAGGGGGAUAGCCCGGAGAAAUCCGGAUUAAUACCGCAUAAAAUCACAGUACCGCAUGGUACAAUGAUCAAACAUUUAUGGGAUGGAGAUGGG